rnacentral:rRNA from 1 species
ACGGAAGGCAGCAGUGAGGAAUAUUGGUCAAUGGGCGGAAGCCUGAACCAGCCAAGUCGCGUGAGGGAGGAAGGUCCUACGGAUUGUAAACCUCUUUAGCCGGGGAGCAAUAAGCGCUAUGUAUAGCGUGAUGCGAGUACCCGGAGAAUAAGGAUCGGCUAACUCCGUGCCCGCAGCCGCGGUAAUACGGAGGAUCCGAGCGUUAUCCGGAUUUAUUGGGUUUAAAGGGUGCGCAGGCGGUCGAUUAAGUCAGUGGUCAAAUCACGGUGCUCAACGCCGUUCCGCCAUUGAUACUGGUUGACUUGAGUCCGGUAGAGGCAGGCGGAAUUCGUAGUGUAGCGGUGAAAUGCAUAGAUAUUACGAAGAACUCCGAUUGCGUAGGCAGCUUACCAGGCCGGCAAUGACGCUCAUGCACGAAGGUGCGGGGAUCGAACAGGAUUAGAUACCCUGGUA